CACGUAGGAGGCGAGCGUUGUCCGGAAUCAUUGGACGUAAAGAGCGCGCAGGCGGCUUGGCAAGUCGGGUGUGAAAUCCCGGGGCUCAACCCCGUGACUGCAUUCGAUACUGUCAGGCUAGAGGUAGGUAGGGGAGAUCGGAAUUCCUGGUGUAGCGGUGAAAUGCGCAGAUAUCAGGAGGAACACCGGUGGCGAAGGCGGAUCUCUGGGCCUUACCUGACGCUCAGGCGCGAAAGCUAGGGGAGCGAACAGG
rnacentral:rRNA from 1 species